AUUGAACGCUGGCGGCAGGCCUAACACAUGCAAGUCGAGCGGAUGAAGGGAGCUUGCUCCUGGAUUCAGCGGCGGACGGGUGAGUAAUGCCUAGGAAUCUGCCUGGUAGUGGGGGAUAACGUCCGGAAACGGGCGCUAAUACCGCAUACGUCCUGAGGGAGAAAGUGGGGGAUCUUCGGACCUCACGCUAUCAGAUGAGCCUAGGUCGGAUUAGCUAGUUGGUGGGGUAAAGGCCUACCAAGGCGACGAUCCGUAACUGGUCUGAGAGGAUGAUAAGUCACACUGGAACUGAGACACGGUCCAGACUCCUACGGGAGGCAGCAGUGGGGAAUAUUGGACAAUGGGCGAAAGCCUGAUCCAGCCAUGCCGCGUGUGUGAAGAAGGUCUUCGGAUUGUAAAGAACUUUAAGUUGGGAGGAAGGGCAGUAAGUUAAUACCUUGCUGUUUUGACGUUACCAACAGAAUAAGCACCGGCUAACUUCGUG
rnacentral:rRNA from 1 species